rnacentral:lncRNA from 1 species
UAUUGAUCUUAAUAAAUGUGCACAAUGCUAUGUGGGAUCCAAAGAAAUCCACCAACCAGUUUUCUCUAGACUUGGGUUCUACCAUUUUGGCCAUAAUUAUACUUCAAGAUGUAUGUAAGAAAAAAGAAAAAAAAAUGCUGUCGAAGUUGGUAAAUUAAAUAUAACCACUGUCUCAAGGUAAUGCUAGCUUUCCAACACAUGCUUAUAUUCUAUCAGCACUUUUACUGGUCCCGAGCCCAUCCAUUCUCCUUUGCUUCUUUAAUGUGAAAUGUAACAUAUAAUUUGUCCUUUUUUUUUUUUUGAGACUGGGUCUCACUAUGUCCCCAAGUCUGGAGAGUAGUGACACUGUAACCUGGAACUCCUGGGCUCAAGCUGGAACUACAGAAGCUGACAGCAUGGCUGCCUUGUCAGAGCGCUUUCAUGCCAAGGAGCCAGGUGAGUGGGGAGGAAGAGUUUAAAGUCUGCUGGUUGCUCAGGCUACACUCUGGAGAUUCUGCACAGCCUCUCCCGGCCCAUUCAAGAGCAAGGCAAAAUCCAGCCAUUCAGGGACUGAGGAGUCCCUCACUCCCAGGGAAGCCAGUUAUUCUCCAAACUAGCAGUCAACCAGUCCCUCUCUGGUAAGUGCUUUUGUGCAUCUGCCCUAAAUGUCCUUGCUUGCUGGAUUGUGCAUCAGUAAUUAUAGUAAUUCCUGAAGAUGAAAAGCUCCUGGCCAUCUUGCUCUCCCUGCAGACUCAUGUCUUUAUCCAUAACCUGAAACUGUAAGACAGUCAUCUGAACUAUGAGCAACACUUUCAUGUAAAGAGUGUGUUCAAGCCCUUUAAAAUGGUUUUUUGAUUCAGUUCUCAGAAGUUGAAGAAUGGAAAGUGCCUACAGCUACAGUCCAAACCAGAAUUUUCAAGUACAGUGAAGGCGGGAAUGAUGGAAGUAGAGAGGCAUCCACUUGUCCUCCAGACCCACUUGAGGGGGAUCAUAUCGGAGCGGGAGAGUCAGUUCAGCCAAUGUUUGUGAAAAUAAUCCUUGGAGGGGUCUGAUCUUCCCACCAUGCUUCUUCUAAGGUAGAUGAGGAGCAUCCCCACACUGGGGAAGAGAAUAUAAUUCCCAGAAACAGUCUUAGUAAACACUAAUGUGAGGUAAUGAUAGGGGCUUGGGUAGGGGUAGAGGAUCCUCCUGGACUUGACAGAAAACAAACCAAACAGAGAGAGAAAAAGAAAAGAUCCCUUGGAACUUGAAUAUGUCUUUGCAAAAGGAUUAUUUAUUUAUUUUUUUAAAAAUUGCCUUAAG